rnacentral:rRNA from 1 species
AGAUUGAACGCUGGCGGCAGGCCUAACACAUGCAAGUCGAGCGGCAGCACGGGUACUUGUACCUGGUGGCGAGCGGCGGACGGGUGAGUAAUGCCUAGGAAUCUGCCUGGUAGUGGGGGAUAACGCUCGGAAACGGACGCUAAUACCGCAUACGUCCUACGGGAGAAAGCAGGGGACCUUCGGGCCUUGCGCUAUCAGAUGAGCCUAGGUCGGAUUAGCUAGUUGGUGAGGUAAUGGCUCACCAAGGCGACGAUCCGUAACUGGUCUGAGAGGAUGAUCAGUCACACGUGGAACUGAGACACGGUCCAGUACUCCGUACGGGAGCAGCAGGUGGGAAUAGUUGGACAAGUGGGACGAAAGCCGUGACUCCAGCCAGUCGCCGCGUGUGUAGAAAGG